rnacentral:rRNA from 1 species
GACGAACGCUGGCGGCGUGCUUAACACAUGCAAGUCGAACGGAAAGGCCCUGCUUUUGUGGGGUGCUCGAGUGGCGAACGGGUGAGUAACACGUGAGUAACCUGCCCUUGACUUUGGGAUAACUUCAGGAAACUGGGGCUAAUACCGGAUAGGAGCUCCUGCUGCAUGGCGGGGGUUGGAAAGUUUCGGCGGUUGGGGAUGGACUCGCGGCUUAUCAGCUUGUUGGUGGGGUAGUGGCUUACCAAGGCUUUGACGGGUAGCCGGCCUGAGAGGGUGACCGGCCACAUUGGGACUGAGAUACGGCCCAGACUCCUACGGGAGGCAGCAGUGGGGAAUAUUGCACAAUGGGCGGAAGCCUGAUGCAGCAACGCCGCGUGCGGGAUGACGGCCUUCGGGUUGUAAACCGCUUUCGCCUGUGACGAAGCGUGAGUGAAGGUAAUGGGUAAAGAAGCACCGGCUAACUACGUG